GCCCAGAUAGCUCAGUCGGUAGAGCACAUCCUUGGUAAGGAUGAGGUCGUCGGUUCAAAUCCGAUUCUGGGCU
rnacentral:tRNA from 1 species